rnacentral:lncRNA from 1 species
GAACCCUAAGUAGUAAGUUUAAUAUGCGAGUCUAGGUAGUAUGUAUGACAUGCGAGCCCUAAGUAAAAAGCGAACCCUUUGUGCGAACCUUAGUGCGAACCCUUUGUAUGUGAAACCCCCCUUUGCAUGCGAGCCCCUUUUGUAAAGUACACCUGCGAAUCCUAUGUAAAUUACUGUGUGAAUGGUCAGAUAAACCCUGGGAGGAAAAUAAACAUAUAUAUUGUGAACCCUUAGAGAUUUGUAUGUGAACCCAUAAACAGACACUAGGCGAGCCCUACCAUGUUUAUGCGAACCCCUAGGUUAUGCGAACCCACCAUGUAGUGUAAGCCCCUUGCAUGCGAUCUCCCUUGCAUGUGUGAACC